rnacentral:rRNA from 1 species
GUCUUCCUGUUUUUAUUGGAAGUCUGACCUGCCCAGUGAUUAUUUUAACGGCCGCGGUAUUUUGACCGUGCAAAGGUAGCAUAAUCAUUAGUCUUUUAAAAGGAGGCUGGAAUGAAUGGUUUGACGAAACAUUAUCUGUCUCAAUCUCGAUUAUUAAAAUUUAACUUUUGAGUUAAAAGGCUUAAAUUCUGUUGGAAGACGAGAAGACCCUAUAGAGCUUUAUGGUUUUGUCUUUAUUUUAUUUAUAAUUAGCUUUAUUGAUAAAACUGUUUUGUUGGGGUGACAAGAAAUAUAAAUUUAACUUUUUUAUAUACAAUACAUUUAUUUAUGAUUUAUUAGAUCCAUUUUUAAUGAUUGUUAGAGUAAGUUACCUUAGGGAUAACAGCGUAAUCUUCUUUGGGAGUUCGAAUUUUCAAGAAGGAUUGCGACCUCGAUGUUGGAUUAAGAUUAUACCUGGGUGCAGUAGCUUGGUGUUAUAGGUCUGUUCGACCUUUAAAUUCUUACAUGAUCUGAGUUCAGACCGG